GGCGGACGGGUGAGUAACACGUGAAUAAUCUGUCCUCAAGUCCGGGAUAACCAGGCGAAAGUCGGGCUAAUCCGGGGUAAGCUGAGGUGUGGCAUCACACAUCAGAAAAGGUCGUUUGAGGAGGAGUUCGCGGUAGAUUAGCUAGCUGGUGAGGUAAUGGCUCACCAGGGCAACAAUCUAUAGCUGGUCUGAGAGGACGAUCAGUCACACUGGAACUGAGACACGGUCCAGACUCCUACGGGAGGCAGCAGUGGGGAAUCUUCCACAAUGGGCGCAAGCCUGAUGGAGCAACGCCGCGUGAGUGAAGAAGGUCUUCGGAUUGUAAAGCUCUGUCCUUAGGGAAGAUGACGGUACCUUUGGAGGAAGCACUGGCUAACUACGUGCCAGCAGCCGCGGUAAUACGUAGAGUGCAAGCGUUGUCCGGAAUUAUUGGGCGUAAAGGGUACGCAGGCGGAUAUUCAAGUCAAGCGUGAAAGGUGUCGGCUUAACCGACAGACUGCGUUUGAAACUGAAUAUCUUGAGUGUAACAGAGGAGAGUGGAAUUCCUAGUGUAGUGGUGAAAUACGUAGAUAUUAGGAAGAACACCAGUGGCGAAGGCGACUCUCUGGGUUAACACUGACGCUGAGGUACGAAAGCUGGGGGAGCGAACGGGAUUAGAUACCCCGGUAGUCCCAGCCGUAAACGAUGGAUACUAGGUGUUGGAGCUUCAGUGCCGGAGUUAACGCAUUAAGUAUCCCGCCUGGGGAUUACGAUCGCAAGAUUGAAACUCAAAGGAAUUGACGGGGGCCCGCACAAG
rnacentral:rRNA from 1 species